rnacentral:rRNA from 1 species
CACGUAGGGCGCAAGCGUUGUCCGGAAUUAUUGGGCGUAAAGAGCUCGUAGGCGGUCUGUUGCGUCCGCUGUGAAAACUCGGGGCUUAACCCCGAGCCUGCAGUGGAUACGGGCAGACUAGAGGUAGGUAGGGGAGAAUGGAAUUCCCGGUGUAGCGGUGAAAUGCGCAGAUAUCGGGAGGAACACCGGUGGCGAAGGCGGGUCUCUGGGCCGAUACUGACGCUGAGGAGCGAAAGCAUGGGUAGCGAACAGG